UAUAUAUAUAUAUAUAUAUAUAUAUAUAUAUAUAUAUAUAUAUAUAUAUAUAUAUAUAUAUAUAUAUAUAUAUAUAUAUAUAUAUUAGCAGUCUGGUGAAAGGAUUCCAGAAAAAAAACUAAAAACAUUUGUUUUCACUUAAAAGAUCAUUGAGUUAAAAGGACAAUCACAACUAUUAAUAAGGUCAUCAUUUCCCAUUAAAGAGGUGGUAUAAACAAGCUCUUUGUCAGUUUAAAAUGUCACCUUCGGAUAUGUGCCAAAAUAAAACCUUGUUCAUAUCUUCAUGCUUUGUGUUCACUGAGAUAUUCUCUGUCUUUUAGUUUGAGAUGCUGUAGCCACACUUUAGGCUUGUGCCGUCUGAACAUAAUGAGCAGUUUUUUUUUAACAACCACUUUGUUUGUCUGUCCGUUGUUUCUCACACGUAAUAGAAGAGCGAGAGUUCAUUAGAGAAUUUGAGAUGUCUGAUUUGUGAGCAAAUUGAUCUUUUAAAUCACCAUUUCAAUUAAUAGGUUAAUGUGGUUCACAAAACUGGUCUCAGUGAGUUUCUUCUCUCAUGAACACAUCAAGGAAAAGGAAUUGUAAUUUCCUGACAGGUGUCCUGAUUGUUCUUGAGUUUCAAAUUAACUUUUGAUAUAAUUCCUUUAAGUCUUACAAUAAAGCAUUCACAGAUUAAUAUUCUUAAAUAUGAAAUUUUAGAUCACAAAAUCAAUUGAUCACCUUAUAAUUUUUCAGUAACGUUAGUUGCUAUUUGAGUUCACAUUGUGAUGAUUUCAAUUAAUUUUAUUGUAAUGUGGUUGGUUUUGUGUAGAGUUUUUCCAAAAACACUGAGACAUUUGGAAUGUGUGUGGGAUAAAAGUAAAAAGUGUUUAUAGAAGGAAUGAAUGAAUGAAUGAAUGGUUUGGGGAAAUUUGACCUAAAUCAGUUAUAGUGUAAGUAAUAAUAAUACAAAAAAAAAAAAAAACUAGCAUUUUGAUAUAUGAUAAUUUUUAGAAUCAAUGCCAUAUCAUACAAUUUGUGAAUAUUCAAGUAUUCACUGGAUCACUGGCUGUGGUAUUGAUCAUAUAAAAUACUGAAUCUCUGAUCACGAAACUUUACGUGAAAAUGGUGGGAAAAGGUUUUCUUCUAAUUGCGAGACCACUGAUAAAUGUUGGAUGUGGAUUAAUGCUUGUGUCUACGGUUGUUUUUUUGAAUGUGGUGAAGAUCUCAGCAGAUCAAUUGGAGGUUGUCUCGUUACAGCGAGAUCAUGAGUGCUAUAUAUACAUAGACCUGCUCCCUGGUUAAAGACCAGACACCGUGCUACUGUACGUACGGUUCUCAUCUGCAUACGCCUAGUCAUGCUGGCUGAACACUGGCCAAAAGAGCACUGCAGUUGUCCUGACUUCAAAUUACAAUGAUGGGAAUUAGCGUUUUUUUCCUGUUGUUGUUAAUCGCAAACCUGCACGAUCAGGUUAAUAGCUACUCGCUCUUUGAUAGUACUGCUAUACAUUUUGAGCCAGAGUUGUGGAGAAUUUUGAGAAUUUUUUGCAACAACAUUUUCUGGACCCCAGUAGAGUUAUUGUACAAGUUUGAAG